rnacentral:rRNA from 1 species
CAGUCGCCGCGGUAAUACGGAGGGAGCUAGCGUUAUUCGGAAUUACUGGGCGUAAAGCGCACGUAGGCGGCUUUGUAAGUAAGAGGUGAAAGCCUGGUGCUCAACACCAGAACUGCCUUUUAGACUGCAUCGCUUGAAUCAUGGAGAGGUCAGUGGAAUUCCGAGUGUAGAGGUGAAAUUCGUAGAUAUUCGGAAGAACACCAGUGGCGAAGGCGGCUUACUGGCUCAUUCUAGACGCUGAGGUGCGAAAGCGUGGGGAGCAAACAGGAUUAGAUACCCCUGUAGUCCCUGUCUCUUAUAC